CAGUAGCCACGGGAAUACGAAGGGUGCAAGCGUUACUAGGAAUUACUGGGCGUAAAGCGUGCGUAGGUGGUGGUUUAAGUCCGUUGUGAAAGCCCUGGGCUCAACCUGGGAAUUGCAGUGGAUACUGGGUCACUAGAGUGUGGUAGAGGAUAGUGGAAUUUCCGGUGUAGCAGUGAAAUGCGUAGAGAUCGGAAGGAACAUCUGUGGCGAAGGCGACUAUCUGGGCCAACACUGACACUGAGGCACGAAGGCGUGGGGAGCAAACAGGAUUAGAUACCCCUGUAGUCCCUGUCUCUUAUAC
rnacentral:rRNA from 1 species